rnacentral:tRNA from 3 species
CAGAGGGUAGUUUAAUUUAG